CAAGUGACCAGCAGGCACUGGGCAGAGCAUUACACAGUGGUAGAGAGAAGGAAACAACCAUUUAUGUUGUCUUCUUCACAUAUUGUCAGCAAUGCCUAAGAGGACACAGGAGUGAACAUUUUUGGAAUUCUCCAGAACAUAUCAUCCACUACAGGGAGGAACAACUGGAUGAUCAGCAGCACCAGCAGAGUUGUGCAGCAGGUCUAAUCACAGGCUGGAGAAAGAUACCAGACAUAUUUCAUCCUUUUGGAAACCAGAUUUCAACUCCUUUCCCCACACAGAAGAAGUCAUUAAGGUACAAAUAAGAACUGAUGUCCAGCAACCAGCCAGGAGUCCAGAGUGGGGCAUCACACAGAGGAACGUGUGGCAGAUCACAGGAAAUGUGGUCUUGCCCUGCAAAAUGCCAGAACAGACUGGAAACCUGAAUGCCAAAGGUAAUAGGAAUGUGUUGAUUGAAAACCAAUAAACACAUUCCUAUUGUAAUGUAUUGAUUGAAAACCAAAGAUCACUUAUGCCAUGAAGACAAGUGUGAAGGGUGUUUGGGAAAGAGGGAUAAGGCUCAGGAUGUCUGUCUCCUGCUCCAGUUUUUGAUAAUAAAUAAGUUUACACUCAAUAAAAGGAUAUCCAUCUACAGUAUAAAUGGCUGUUCCUCAACUAUUUGCCAAGGCUCCUGUUCAGACAGUGAAGGCAAAGCUUGAGCAUGAUUUUUCUGUCCUAAAGCAUGCAUUUUAAAAGAGUUAUCUGGGUAAGACCUUAGAAAUAUCUAUUUCUCUGCCCUGUCCACAAAAAGAAAGCUGAUAGCUACUUUGAAUGAAGCUGAUUCUACUAAAGUAAACUGAAAUAAAUUCCACUCAUGAUCUGGAUCUCAGACAAAAUGCACUCCUAGGUUUGAACAUUACCAUAGAAGAAUUAUCAAUGUCAUUUCAGCAUGGGGAUCCUUGUGUAAAAAUGUGAGGGAGGAGGAACAAAUUUCAUUGCAGUUCAAAGUACUCCAAGAUUAUAUACUCCAAAAUUAAGGGGGCUGGGGAAGGCCACAGCAUUCAUCCUCUGAUAGUCUGGCUGCACAAACUAAAGACUCACAGGAUGAGCUAGAGCCAAUAUCCCUCUAAU